GCUAGGUGAAAGAAACCAGACACAAAAGGCCACAUAUUGUGUGAUUCCGUUUAUGUGAAAUGUCCAGAAUAUGUAAACUCAUAGAGACAGAUUAGUGUCUCCAUUAGAGUAGAUCUGUGUUGGCUAGGGGAGGAGGCGAAAGGGGAAUGGUAAGUGACUGCUUUUGGGGGUGUUAAAAUGUUCUGGAAUUAGGAAGUGGUGAUGGUAGAUAAUAUUGUGAAUAUACUAAAAAAUCACGGAAUUGCACACUUCAAAUGAGUGUCCAGAACAACUUACGUAGUGAUUAACUAGAGAUAGCUUCUCAUAUGAGAACUGGUCAUCCUAGAGAAAGAGCCUAAAAGGAGCAGGUUUAAGACUGACUUGGUAGCAUCUUUAAAUAUUUGAUGAAAGAGUGUUUAUUAAUUUUGUUUUUGUUUUCAGUGGGGGUUGGGUAAUUAGGUUUAUUUAUUUAUUUAUUAUUUUUUAACAGAGGUACUGAGGAUUGAACCCAGGAACUUGUGCAUGCUUGGUAUGCACUCUACCACUGAGCUAUAGUCUCCCCACUGGAAGGAGUGUUCUAAAGAGAGACUUAGUUUAUAACAAAAGUAGAGUCAGGGAGUGGAAUGUCCUAAGGAACAGGGCAAAUUUUUAGCAAGCAGAACUGCCAAGUACUAAGUUCCCCAUCAUUGGGAGUAUUCAAAGAAAGAUGGGUAAUCUUGUGCUAGGAAUGUUGUUGAGGCAUGAAAAAAGAAUAUUGACUAAAGAUAUGAGAAAGAAUAUUAAACUGAAUAAGCUAGGGCAUCUCAAAUUAUGUGUUUGUAGCCUCUUUUUAAAUGGUGCCAGUUUAUCAGAAUAUAUAUGUGUGUGUGUGUGUGUGUGUAUCCAAGGCUCAAAACUUGAGCAAGCCAUGUGAAAUUAUAAAAAUUAUUAUUACUGAUAACAUCAGUAUGUGAAGAAAUUAUUUUUAUCCUGUCUCUCAUUUCAGACACUGUAUGAGCAGCUUUUCUCCCCAAGCCAACUUCACUGUACUCUCUGCCCAUUUUUUCAUUGUAUUAGUUAGGACAGGUUAAAAUUUUUUAACAGUCCAUGUUGGUUCCAGUCAGUGGGGCAGCUCUCCUUCACAAAAUAAUGUGGGAAGUCAGACUUUUAGCUGUGGCUCUCUCCUCCCCCUGGAGACUCCUGUCUGCUUGUAUUCCACAGUGAAAGGGGAAGGGACACUGAAGAGAACAUGUGAGAAAUUUUCUCUCUCCAACUAGAAAGCAAUAUUUUGCAAUUAUUCCAAACAAACAAACAA